rnacentral:lncRNA from 1 species
GGCCAAGUGAGAAAUGCAUGAAUUCUAACCCAAAACUCCUGAGUUUCUGCCACAUGAAUUGCUGUUUCAGAAACUAGUUAUGAAUCAUUUGCAGCCCGACAUCAACUGAAAGACCAGUUAACUUAGUCCUUUAUCUGGAGUCUCCCAAUUCUAAUGUUUUCUUUUCUUUUUUUUUUUAAGAUUUUAUUUAUUUAUUUAUAGAGACACAGAGAGAGAAUGAGAGGCAGAGACACGGCAGAGGGAGAAGCAGGCUCCAUGCAGGGAGCCCAACGUGGGACUCGAUCCAGAGUCUCCAGGAUCACUCCCCGGGCUGCAGGAAGCGCUAAACCACUGCAUCACCGGGGCUGCCCUGGAGUCUCCCAAUUCUAAAUCAAUAAUUUAUGAGAUCCGCAUGCAACUAAGUUAUGUGAACCUGAUGCUCUGCCUCACAGCAAAGCCUUCACAGUGUUCUCAUUUAAGCUUUGGAGGUGUUGACUCCAUGGAUCUGGGUGGAACAGGAUUCUCAGACUUCAGGCAGCCCCUCAUUCUCCAGGACUUCGCAGGAGGCUUCCUGAUUUCAGCUGGAUUUGAACCAGGAGGCUGGAGAAGCUGGGAGCUGCCCUGGAUCCUAAGGAUGAAGCUUGCACAGAGAAAGGUUCCAACAUACCAGAAAAACUAUAUGCAAACUUGGCCAGUGCUGCAAACUUUGAAGUAAGGACUGUAGUGCAGCAGGGGUCCCAGGGUCUCCUUCCACAAAUGAGCAUUCACAGCGCACUGAAUGAGGCCCUGGAGGACCAGAAGAAUGAUUGCUUCUCUCCAAGGUGAUCCAGAGGUGAAUAUCAUCCCCUGGAGGAUGCCUCUGGCCCAUUGACUGGGAAACACUGCAGUGACCGAGGCAGAAGGCGCUCCAAAUGCAAAGAACAUUAUUCCAAGCAAACGAGGGAGCCCAGCAAUUAUUUCCACUCAAAAGUUGGUAAUGAAUCGUCAUGUUUAUUUAUUCAUUCAUUAAAUGUAGGCAAACAAGCAACCAAAGAGGAAGCCGUCUGGCCAUUCUUUUAAUGAAUCUGCCCCAUUUCUGAGUGAAAUGUAGGCCAUGCAGAUGAAAUGCUGAGCUCUGGAAAUAUAUUACCCACUCAGGAAGCCAUCCUUCCAGCCUUAAUUAAAGAAAAUCAACAACUCCCUUUUGCAGUGGAUGAUGAUGGAAAUCAAACCAAGGAACUGAAAUACAGACUUGCCAGCUUGCAAGCUGGGUCAGGCUUGACUGGGCUUGCAGAAGCCAGGGAACCUCAUGAAUUCAUUGGAAAGAUUGUGCCUUGGGUGGCACCAGAACCCUGUAACGUCAACAGCAGCCAAGAUACUACAGGGAAUUAAUGUCAUUAUAGGACACCAAAUAUUUUUUGAUGAAGCUUUGAUGACUCAUUCAUUCAUUCGUUCAUUCCCUCAAUUUUUUAUUUGUCCAUAUGCUCAUUCAUUCAUCUACUCAGUAAGCAUUUACUAAGUACCUACUACGUGCUAGGCAUUGCACCAUGGAUAUAAAAAGCUAAGCAAAAAUAAACAUUGUCUCAUUCUAUUACUCUUUUUAGUA